UGAGCAACCUGCCCUUGACUCCGGAAUAACAGCUGGAAACAGCUGCUAAUACCGGAUACGACCUCCGAUGGCAUCAUCUGGAGGUGGAAAGCUCCGGCGGUCAAGGAUGGGCUCGCGGCCUAUCAGCUUGUUGGUGAGGUAACGGCUCACCAAGGCUUCGACGGGUAGCCGGCCUGAGAGGGCGACCGGCCACACUGGGACUGAGAUACCGGCCCAGACUCCCGUAGGGACGG
rnacentral:rRNA from 1 species